rnacentral:lncRNA from 1 species
UCAUCUGAUCAAAGGAAAAGAUGGUACCCGGCUUCAGUGUCGAGUACCAAUUUCUCGCUGCUCCCUUCAAGGUGGAUGGAAAAGCUUGGCACAGGAUGGCGUCGGGCGCGCCAUGAAGCAGCAUCAUUGUCCGGAAGGCCUCCAGGUGGUCAACUGGGUCCGAAGUCCCGUCGUAGCUUUCAAACUGAGGAAGCUUGAAGUUCGGCGGGAUCGAUUCCUGCAUGAUCAUUUGAGAAAAGGGAGGGUCAGUACAAAUAUCCUCACCAU